UAAAUAAAAGGCCCAAAACACACUAGAGUUCCGGCAGAUUUAAUGAAAGCGUAGAACUGAAAAAACAGAGGUUGCCGCCUCUGGUAAUUUUCUUCCUCAUCAAUCACAUCGCUGCCUGUGCAACAAAGCGGAAUAGCAAGAUGUCAGAGGCUGAUUCUGCCAUAUGCAAAAAGAAAAGGAAUGGAGAGUGGUCAAAUAUGCCUUAUGAUCUGCUCUCAAAUAUUGCAAAUAGGCUGGAACUGAUUGAUUUUACCAGUUUUACUCAUGUUUGCAAAGAUACUUGUGGGACACUCUAUGAUGCAAAAAAUUUGGUGUGGGGUCAAUACAUUCGGUCAGUUACAUUAUUUGAACAUCGUCUCCUUAAAGGAGUAUGGAUCCUGCCAAGAUAUCAUAAACACUAAGAUCAAAGAUGGUAACUUGUUGGGGUCAUAUUUUCACUCUUUCAUGGAUUUCUUUUGUCAUUUUUGUUCUUUGUUUUAUGGAUUUAGUUAUCUAAAACUUGAGAUUUUAUUGUUUGA